CGCCGAUAUUCGCUUGGAAUUGUUUCUUCAUCGUCCUGCACGUGUCACUUGUGCAGUUGUAAGGCGAACAAACUAUCUUACACCUCCAACCUGCCAGGUAGAGGGAAAUUAGUAAAUCACAUCACGAUGUGGGAAUUACUAUUUUGGGAUCUGCUAGGCAGGGAAAAAAAGAAAAUGAAAAAGAGAAGAGAACUACUCAAGAUCAGAGGCAACCUAACUGCUGAGAGAACCGAUUUCUUGAGGAAAAUGCAUUCGCAUGUGAUUUGUGAUCUACAAGAGGAAGGCCAGAGAUUGGAUUUUUAUGUUGAAGAAAAAGAGCUUAUAAGUGAAGUGAGCGUGCCAGGGUCAGAAAGCACUCUAAGGAUAAGCACUGAAGUUUGCAGAGCUGUUCUUUUCAAGAUAAUCAAAAGGUUCCAAUCCAUGCACUCUGCUGGAUUCAGUCUAGGUGGGUUUGAACACAAAAUUCUGUUUGUCACGUCAGAUUUUGAGGUGAAAAUUGGUGGUAUUAGUAGAGUGAAAGAUUUCACCAAGACAAGAGGAUCGAAGGAUUACAAGAGCAUCGGAAAAAUUGCCCGGGAAGUGAUAUUCUCAUCAGUGACAAAUUUGCCGGUUGAUAUCGAGCAACUACUUGACCUUUUGACCGACAAUCCUAUGGAGCAAACAGCCCUUUUGGGCAUGCACUACUCUUUAUUGGACCCAUUGACUCAAGUAUCUGAGUUCCUUUGGUGGCACAAGCGCCUCAUUCACCUCAAAGACAUAAAUCCAGAAAAGUUUCAAAGAAUCAUGGAAAACAUCCCAACUGGUAACAAUUGGAUGAGUCGGGCGGUGGAGAAUAAGUACAUAAGAAAGGUUUCACUGGGCAUUCCUAAGAGGAGAAAGGGAUUAGUACAUACCACCGAGGAAGUGAAGCCUGAAACAACAGCGGCAAGUCAAGGUACUGGUAUUGAGGGAGUAAAACCAAAAACUGCAGUUGGCCAGGAUACCAAUAUUGAGGACCCAAAACCUGAAACUGCAACACCAAAAUGCAAGUACUCGGAAGAUUCAUGGGGGCAGAGUUUGUUGUGUAGGAACUCAAUAGAACACCUGGACAGAUGGGCAGCAUUGAGAAGGAUCAAAAAAAAAGAAAUCAGGUGGCAAGAUAAGAACGGUAAAAGUUCAAUUCGAGGAAAUGGGCAGAUGCUAUAUCAUAAUACAAGCAUUCUCUAA
rnacentral:lncRNA from 1 species